rnacentral:rRNA from 1 species
CCACCUGAUCCCAUUCCGAACUCAGAAGUGAAACGAAAUAGCGCCGAUGGUAGUGUGGGGUUUCCCCAUGUGAGAGUAGGACAUCGCCAGGC